rnacentral:snRNA from 1 species
GCGUGAGAGCAAUUGGACUGUGACAUCUGCCAUCCCAGUGAUCUCUAGGGUUGAUUAGGCUGAUCUAGCUGGCUAGUCAUGUGUUCCCUGCCUCUCUAUUUGUUCCACAUGCAUCCCUCCCAAAGCUGCAUGCUCUGUCAAAGACGAUGACCUUCCCUAGUCCAGGAGGACCGCUGCUUGCUAGGGGAGUAGCUGCGCUCCAGGGCUGGAAUCUCCAAACAAGCUGUCAAGAUGGGCUGGAAGCUGACUUGCUUCUUUCUUUCUCCUCACUCAAACACAAGGAUAUGCUUAGGGAAGAAGACUUUCUGGGUCCUCACUGU